rnacentral:tRNA from 1 species
GCUGGCGUAGCUCAAUCUGGUAGAGCAGCCGCAUUGUAGGCGGACGGUUGCGGGUUCAACUCCUGUCGCCAGCAC